rnacentral:rRNA from 3 species
GGAGCGUUCUGUAAGCCUGCGAAGGUGUGCUGUGAGGCAUGCUGGAGGUAUCAGAAGUGCGAAUGCUGACAUAAGUAACGAUAAAGCGGGUGAAAAGCCCGCUCGCCGGAAGACCAAGGGUUCCUGUCCAACGUUAAUCGGGGCAGGGUGAGUCGACCCCUAAGGCGAGGCCGAAAGGCGUAGUCGAUGGGAAACAGGUUAAUAUUCCUGUACUUGGUGUUACUGCGAAGGGGGGACGGAGAAGGCUAUGUUGGCCGGGCGACGGUUGUCCCGGUUUAAGCGUGUAGGCUGGUUUUCCAGGCAAAUCCGGAAAAUCAAGGCUGAGGCGUGAUGACGAGGCACUACGGUGCUGAAGCAACAAAUGCCCUGCUUCCAGGAAAAGCCUCUAAGCAUCAGGUAACAUCAAAUCGUACCCCAAACCGACACAGGUGGUCAGGUAGAGAAUACCAAGGCGCUUGAGAGAACUCGGGUGAAGGAACUAGGCAAAAUGGUGCCGUAACUUCGGGAGAAGGCACGCUGAUAUGUAGGUGAAGUCCCUUGCGGAUGGAGCUGAAAUCAGUCGAAGAUACCAGCUGGCUGCAACUGUUUAUUAAAAACACAGCACUGUGCAAACACGAAAGUGGACGUAUACGGUGUGACGCCUGCCCGGUGCCGGAAGGUUAAUUGAUGGGGUCAGCGCAAGCGAAGCUCUUGAUCGAAGCCCCGGUAAACGGCGGCCGUAACUAUAACGGUCCUAAGGUAGCGAAAUUCCUUGUCGGGUAAGUUCCGACCUGCACGAAUGGCGUAAUGAUGGCCAGGCUGUCUCCACCCGAGACUCAGUGAAAUUGAACUCGCUGUGAAGAUGCAGUGUACCCGCGGCAAGACGGAAAGACCCCGUGAACCUUUACUAUAGCUUGACACUGAACAUUGAGCCUUGAUGUGUAGGAUAGGUGGGAGGCUUUGAAGUGUGGACGCCAGUCUGCAUGGAGCCGGCCUUGAAAUACCACCCUUUAAUGUUUGAUGUUCUAACGUGGACCCGUGAUCCGGGUUGCGGACAGUGUCUGGUGGGUAGUUUGACUGGGGCGGUCUCCUCCUAAAGAGUAACGGAGGAGCACGAAGGUUGGCUAAUCCUGGUCGGACAUCAGGAGGUUAGUGCAAUGGCAUAAGCCAGCUUGACUGCGAGCGUGACGGCGCGAGCAGGUGCGAAAGCAGGUCAUAGUGAUCCGGUGGUUCUGAAUGGAAGGGCCAUCGCUCAACGGAUAAAAGGUACUCCGGGGAUAACAGGCUGAUACCGCCCAAGAGUUCAUAUCGACGGCGGUGUUUGGCACCUCGAUGUCGGCUCAUCACAUCCUGGGGCUGAAGUAGGUCCCAAGGGUAUGGCUGUUCGCCAUUUAAAGUGGUACGCGAGCUGGGUUUAGAACGUCGUGAGACAGUUCGGUCCCUAUCUGCCGUGGGCGCUGGAGAACUGAGGGGGGCUGCUCCUAGUACGAGAGGACCGGAGUGGACGCAUCACUGGUGUUCGGGUUGUCAUGCCAAUGGCACUGCCCGGUAGCUAAAUGCGGAAGAGAUAAGUGCUGAAAGCAUCUAAGCACGAAACUUGCCCCGAGAUGAGUUCUCCCUGACCCUUUAAGGGUCCUGAAGGAACGUUGAAGACGACGACGUUGAUAGGCCGGGUGUGUAAGCGCAGCGAUGCGUUGAGCUAACCGGUACUAAUGAACCGUGAG